AAAGGUAGUGUCCGGUUCCUGGAAUGAAGGGUAUCAGCAUCUUCUGUGUUUGCUCUCCGAAUACAUGGUGACGUUAUUGUUGUAUCUGGAGCUAGAGGAAUGGAGACAGGUGGACUAUUGCUUACAUAAGGGGGUGAGGCUGAUGUUACUAGAUGGAAUUUAAGUAAGAAGGUCAUCGUAUAGCCAUGCUUCAUAGCCGUUGAAAUUGAACAUGUAAAUCUGUUCAUUGAUAUGGGAAAGAUGGUCACAACAUAUAACAUGGAAAAGGCAGAUGAACAAGCCUGCUGAGUGUGUGUAGACAGUGAAAGAAGGUGGAAGUUCUUAUACUUUUUCCACGAUGGAGCAGAUGAACAUCAGGGCACUCUGAAACUCUGACUCGCUAUCAUUUAUGAUAAAAAGAGCUAAUUUCCUCCGAUUUGGCUGAUCUAAAGCUAAAGGUUGUUUAUGGACUUUAAAUAACGUGUUGCAGUCAGAUUUUAUGCGCCCCCUUAGUCCCCCCAGCACCGUGAUGACUGAGGUGCGCCUGACCGAAGCCAUGGUGUUUUCCAUCACCCCAUAUGCAUGCGAAAGCUGAACAAUGAAAAUGGA